GUGGAAUUUCUGGUUGAGAACUUGAUGCAGUUGCUGCGGGACAACGUAGAGCUAAUUAGUGGAGUUAAAGAGGCUGCUGAGAGUCUACUUCAAGAUCUAAAUGAUUUCAAUGCUUUUCUUAAGCAAGCUGCCAAGUGUCACAUCAACGAGAACGAAGUCCUCAGAGAACUUGUUAAGAAAAUAAGAACAGUCGUUAACUCUGCUGAAGAUGCUAUUGAUAAAUUUGUUAUUGAAGCUAAGCUACACAAGGAUAAGGGUGUCACCAGAGUAUUAGAUCUUCCCCAUUAUAAAAG
rnacentral:misc_RNA from 1 species